UACGUAGGGGGCAAGCGUUGUCCGGAUUUAUUGGGCGUAAAGAGCGUGUAGGCGGUUUGGUAGGUCCGCUGUGAAAACCCGAGGCUCAACCUCGGGCCUGCAGUGGGUACGGGCAGACUAGAGUGCGGUAGGGGAGAUUGGAAUUCCUGGUGUAGCGGUGGAAUGCGCAGAUAUCAGGAGGAACACCGGUGGCGAAGGCGGGUCUCUGGGCAACAACUGACGCUGAGGAGCGAAAGCGUGGGGAGCGAACAGG
rnacentral:rRNA from 1 species